rnacentral:misc_RNA from 1 species
GAUGAAGAACGUAGUGAAAUGCGAUAAGUAAUGUGAAUUGCAGAAUUCAGUGAAUCAUCGAAUCUUUGAACGCACAUUGCGCCCUCUGGUAUUCCGGGGGGCAUGCCUGUUCGAGCGUCAUUUCAACCCUCAAGCUCUGCUUGGUAUUGGGCGUCGCCGGGGAGUCUCCCCGGCGUGCCUCAAAGCCAUCGGCGGUGGUGCCUUUCUCUAAGCGUGGUAGAAUUUUUAUUCGCUUCUGAGUUGGGCUUCGCCUGCCGGACAAACCGGGCCCUCGCGGCCCACCUUCUCAGGUUGACCUCGGAUCAGGUAGGGAUACCCGCUGAACUUAAGCAUACAAUAAGCGGAGGA